AUGAGCAUAAUCGCCCCUGCAGGAAUACACAGUAAUUUAUUUGGCCCUGUUUAUUUCAGCUUCAUGUUCAUGACUGGGAAGAAAACCUAGAGGGCUUCAUGAAGACUUCCAUCAAGUGCCCACCUGCCAACAGUAAUCCUGGUGUAUUUGCUGUGAAUUGUGAGGUGUGCUGUACAGCCAAAGGUUUGGAACUUACUCAAGUGACCGUGGUUGAUCCCAGCCUCCAGGUGGUCUAUGACACAUUUGUGAAACCAGAUGAAGAAGUCAUUGGCUAUAACACCAGGUUUUCUGGUGUCGAAGAGGACCUGAGGAACACAAGAAUAUCGAUCCGGAUGUCCAAGCCACCCUGUUGAACCUGUUCAGUGCUGAUACUGUACUAAUUGGACAUAGCUUUUAAGCUAAUUCCUACUUCAGUUGUGGACACGACAAUUCUGUUUCCUUGUGGCGAGGCUUGUCUAGUGGCUGACCACCUGCAGAGAAUCAUUCAGGACUAUGGCAGUGUCCUAGGGAUCUUCGGAACACACUAACCUGUGUUCAGUGCCGGACCUGUCUCAUUCCUUUGAGGGGCUAGCUCCAUCUUUCUUGCUUUCUCAUCAUGGGGGCUGUCAGGAGGAUCUCCACAACAUGUGGUAAAAAGCCCAAGGAGCUAGUGCAGAUACCUGGACCCGUCAAGGGCUCUUCGCGCGUUUCCAGCUGCUGACUCUGCUGGCAGCCUUGCGUGUGCGCUCUCCCCUGGAGAAUGCCGUUGGGAACAAAGGGCCCUGCUAUUGUCUCUGAACACACGAGUCCUGCCAGCUGGAGUCCCCACCCACCGCACUACGGGCAUCUCACCGAGACAGCUGGAGGGCAGGAACUUGACAUCAGGCAUGACCUAGGAGAAACACUCCCAGACAAAAAACAGGGAGUAGCAGAGUCAAAGCUUGAGAAGUCUUGCCCUUACAAACAAAAAAAACCGUGUAAUCUGAUUUAACCUGGAACUUGCCCCACGCUAUUAACUGGCCUUCGGAAAGGACUUCUCAUGGCUGUGGAGCGUGCCAUCUUCAAGCAAACGUGCAAUAGUCCUGGGACAUCUCUGCGCCCACAGACACAACAAGCUCUAGUGUCCGUCAGCCACCAGGUCAUAAGUAUUAG